rnacentral:lncRNA from 1 species
CCCCUCCCUUUGCCAAAUACUCCUUGGAGAAGAAAUACCAUUUGAAACAAACAGAAAAGAUAGGAAUAUAGUGAUCCCUAAUAUAUCAUUCCUUCUUCUCCUUCAAUCUCUGUACCGAUGUAAUGCAAUGGCUUUAUGAGAAUAAAAAUAGAUAUUCUUCGCCUGUAAGCACGCUGCUGCAGCCUACGUUUUCUAAUGCUUAAUCGAGACAUCUUUAUUAUUUUUAAACAACUGCAAAUCAUCAAAAUGGCUUUCAUAAAGAAGCAACCACUUAACUUUAAAAAAAAAGGGGGGGG